rnacentral:rRNA from 1 species
AACGAACGCUGGCGGCAUGCCUAACACAUGCAAGUCGAACGAGACCUUCGGGUCUAGUGGCGCACGGGUGCGUAACGCGUGGGAACCUGCCCUUAGGUUCGGAAUAACUCCCCGAAAGGGGUGCUAAUACCGGAUAAUGUCUUCGGACCAAAGAUUUAUCGCCUUUGGAUGGGCCCGCGUUGGAUUAGCUAGUUGGUAGGGUAAAAGCCUACCAAGGCGACGAUCCAUAGCUGGUCUGAGAGGAUGAUCAGCCACACUGGGACUGAGACACGGCCCAGACUCCUACGGGAGGCAGGAGUGGGGGAUCUAGGAAAAUGGGCGAAAGGCUGAUGCAGCAAUGCCGCGUGAGUGAUGAAGGCCUUAGGGUUGUAAAGCUCUUUUACCCGGGAUGAUAAUGACAGUACCGGGAGAAUAAGCUCCGGCUAACUCCGUG